rnacentral:rRNA from 1 species
CUACGGGGUGCUGCAGCGAGGAAUAUUGGUCAAUGGGCGCGAGCCUGAACCAGCCAUCCCGCGUGCAGGAUGACGGCCCUAUGGGCUGUAAACUGCUUUUCUAUGCCAAGAAACCUGAUUACGUGUAAUCAGUUGCCGGUAGCAUAGGAAUAAGCAUCGGCUAACUCCGUGCCAGCAGCCGCGGUAAUACGGAGGAUGCAAGCGUUAUCCGGAUUCAUUGGGUUUAAAGGGUGCGCAGGUGGGCUUGUAAGUCAGUGGUGAAAUGCUGCCGCUUAACGGUAGAACUGCCAUUGAUACUGCGAGUCUUGAGUAUGGUUGAGGUAGGCGGAAUGUGUUGUGUAGCGGUGAUAUGCAUAGAUAUGACACAGAACGCCAAUUGCGAAGGCAGCUUACUAAGCCAUUACUGACGCUGAGGCACGAAAGCGUGGGGAGCGAACAGGAUUAGAUACCCGCGUAGUC